AUAAGGAUGUCAUCACUUAUUUAGCCUAACUUCUAUUACUGAAUCUAAUUAGAUCUAGUUUGCUUCUCAUCUGUUAGAGAUUUGAAAACGGGUAACCCAGGCUAAUUAGACUUCCAGGUUAAAUAGAAACACAUUGCUGUUCUGGCCACUGCAUUUGACACGACAUUGGGAGGUAGAAAAUUUGAUGAAGUGUUAGUAAAUCACUUCUGUGAAGAAUUUGGGAAGAAAUACAAGCUAGACAUUAAGUCCAAAAUCCGUGCAUUAUUACGACUCUCUCAGGAGUGUGAGAAACUCAAGAAAUUGAUGAGUGCAAAUGCUUCAGAUCUCCCUUUGAGCAUUGAAUGUUUUAUGAAUGAUGUUGAUGUAUCUGGAACUAUGAAUAGAGGCAAAUUUCUGGAGAUGUGCAAUGAUCUCUUAGCUAGAGUGGAGCCACCACUUCGUAGUGUUUUGGAACAAACCAAGUUAAAGAAAGAAGAUAUUUAUGCAGUGGAGAUAGUUGGUGGUGCUACACGAAUCCCUGCGGUAAAAGAGAAGAUCAGCAAAUUUUUUGGU
rnacentral:sRNA from 1 species